rnacentral:hammerhead_ribozyme from 1 species
GCACUGCUGAGGAGUCCCAAAAUAGGACGAAACGGUCGCCCAGUGC